UACGUAGGGACCAAGCGUUGUUCGGAUUUACUGGGCGUAAAGGGCGCGUAGGCGGCAAUUCAAGUCAGCUGUGAAAUCUCCGGGCUUAACUCGGAACGGUCAGCUGAUACUGUUUUGCUAGAGUGCAGAAGGGGCAAUCGGAAUUCUCGGUGUAGCGGUGAAAUGCGUAGAUAUCGAGAGGAACACCUGAGGUGAAGACGGGUUGCUGAGCUGACACUGACGCUGAUGCGCGAAAGCCAGGGUAGCAAACGGG
rnacentral:rRNA from 1 species